rnacentral:rRNA from 1 species
UACGUAGGGUCCGAGCGUUGUCCGGAGUUACUGGGCGUAAAGCGCGCGCAGGCGGCUUGAUAAGUCUGGCGUGAAAGCCCCCGGCUCAACCGGGGAGGGUCGUCGGAGACUGUUGAGCUUGAGGGCGGUAGGGGCUGGUGGAAUUCCCGGUGUAGUGGUGAAAUGCGUAGAGAUCGGGAGGAACACCUGUGGCGAAGGCGGCCAGCUGGGCCGACCCUGACGCUGAGGCGCGAAGGCGUGGGGAGCGAACGGG